AUUGAACGCUGGCGGCAGGCCUAACACAUGCAAGUCGAACGAGUGGCGGACGGGUGAGUAAUGUCUGGGAAACUGCCUGAUGGAGGGGGAUAACUACUGGAAACGGUAGCUAAUACCGCAUACCAUCAGUUGUGCCCAGGUGGGAUUAGCUUGUUGGUGGGGUAACGGCUCACCAAGGCGACGAUGCCUAGCUGGUCCGAGAGGAUGACCCGCCACACUGGGACUGAGACACGGUCCAGACUCCUACGGGAGGCAGAAGUGGGGAAUCUUGGGCAAUGGGCGAAAGCCUGAUCGAGCCAUGCCGCGUGUGUGAAGAAGGUCUUCGGAUUGUAAAGCACUUUAAUUUGGGAGGCGUUACCAACAGAAUAAGCCCCGGCUAACUUCGUGCCAGCAGCCGCGGUAAUAC
rnacentral:rRNA from 1 species